CAAGAUCACACAAUUAGUCAACAGAUGAGGUAAGAGUAAACACAGUCCCCACUUGUGCAACUCCAGGACCCAUAUUCAUGACUAUUAUGCUGCGGAAAUCAUGAACCAGAUAAAGUUCACCUUUAGUCCCUUGUCUACACCCUGAAGGUGUAACAUGAGGGAUCCCAUCUGCUAUGGUUUGAAUGUGCGUGCCCGCUCCAAAAUUCAUGCUGAAACUUAAUCCCCAGCGCAACUGUAUCGGAAGGUAGGGCCUUCUGGUGGUGGGGUUGAGUGCUCUGCCCUCAUGAAUGGCAUUAAUGCCUUAUAAAGAGGCUUCACACUGCGUCUGCUCCUUUUUGGCCUUUAACCUUCCUCCACGUAAGGACACAGUGAACAAGGUGCCAUCUUGGAAACAAACAGCAGCCUUCACCAGACACCAGACCUUCUGGCACCUUGACCUUGCGCUUUCCAGCCUCCAGAACCGACUAGAACUAUUGCCACUGAGGGCAGGUGAAAGUUCAGCCAACUCGGAACCCGGAGGCCCCACCUUACCUCCCUUUGUGAAGAGCCCAGAGCCUUUGUCCAAAGCUGCAUCACUUCCCACCCAGCCCUUCCUGAGCCAACUCCCCGAUGUCUCCAGAAGAACACAGUCGGCAUCAUCGUGAUAACAUCAGGGAAACUCCUAUUUCCAGCAGUUUCUCCUUCAGCUGCAAAAAUGUGCAGCAGUAGACAGGGCGUGGGUUUUUGAAGUCUCUGCAGGAAGUAGAGUUAUUUUCUCAGCACCACAUCUGAGCGCAUCUUCUAAGGGUGGCCGACUGUGUGGGAGCUGCAGGAGCUCAGCCGGGAUGCAGCCCUCCCAUUCCCCACCCUGUCCACUACCACCACGCCUGGAUCCGACAGGCAGGGCAGGACCCCAUGCCACGUGGUAACUGUUAAGGAAAAUGGAGCCAGGUAGGGGGGAUGUCUGAUACCCUUCCUGGUUUUCCUGAGUGUUCUUUGUCUCCCCAACUCCUACUCACAAUAAAUCUGACUACACUUAAACUUAGAUCAUCAUAAGAGACCCCGCAAAUGCCCACCAUCCUCCACUGCUGUGAUCAUGAAUCUAGAAUGGACAUUUCAUAUCAAUGCCACAGUCCCCUGAGACCAUCAGCCAGAAAUGUUAUCACAACUCCCUCGCUUUGCCCUCCAUUCCCAGAAGGCAAGGAAAGAAGGAACCCAGUUUCCCAGCACCCAGAUGCCUACUGAUCCUGGCACGCAGCUCAAAGUUCAGUUACAUUAAUGAUGGGCCUACUGCAUGCUUGGGGCGCUUCCCUGUGUGUUUUGUGUGGUCCUUUCAGAAGUCCUAUGGAUAGACAUUGUUAGCCCUAUGGUAUAGCUGAAGUUGAGAAUCCCUGGUGGUUAAGUCAUUCCCCCAGAUCACAUGGAUGGCAAGUGACAGAGGCAAGACCCAUCCUUGGGUCAGGUAUGAACGUCUCGAAGGCUUGGAUCUGUCUGCACGUGGGUGAUUAUCACAUCCAGACUUGCACUGAAGGUCAUGCUGGCUGCCAUGGGCUGUGAAUACCUUUCCUCAAUCAGGCACUUUGUGUCUAUUAUCUCAUUUAAUCUUUGUUCUGCUUUAUAAAGUGGCUCUUAAUAUGCCCCCUCUACAAAUGAGCCACCUUAUCUAAUGUCACUAAGAUGUGUACCGGACCUGAUUCCAAAGCCUAUGCAGUUUCCAUUAAGCACCUCUGCCUUUUGAAAAGUAGGUAAUUUCUCCAUCUCUCCUAGCCCCCAUUUUCUGAAUCUGUGGCACAUUAAAUGCAUAUAAAUGCAAAGACAGAUGACAGUAUCUCCAUGUCUGAAAGGUAGCCUACGUGUGUUAGCCUCUGGAGGCACCCUGCUAGGAGGCUGGAAUCUGGGAUCCAAUGCGGUCCAGCAUUUAGCAGAGUGUGCCGCUGCUCCAGGCUCCAGAGCAUUCUAGGUGCUAUGUAACAUUUGACAUUUUGACAUGGGCAUUAGAAAAAAAAAAUACAACUAGCACACUAAACUCAUUAUUUCAAAUAUUGAUCAGGAUAAAAAUAUGUUAACAAAAAAGUCAUUAAAAAUAAUGAGCUUCUUGUGAGUGAUUUACAGAUUUGACUAAAAUGCAAACUGUCAAUGACAAAUAUGAGAAUUAAUAUACUCCAAAGGGUAAUGAAGGAACAGUCCUCCUGACAUCUUUACAUGCCAGGUAGCACCCUGGCCUUUUAGAGAGGUAGGGAUAGCAAUUGUAAAGCAGCACUGGGUCCCCUAGCUAGAAUCGUCCAUUACUGGCUUUUGUCACUAACUGAAAAAUGCGGUCAUGGUUUCCUUUUCUCUGGCACAUUAAAAAUAAAGGACAUCUUUUUCCUUUCAUGUGGACAUCUGAUGAGAUUUACUGAAACUCUACCUUUAACGCUGCAAGAGUUUAUGGGAAAUAGUAAUCCACCCCAAGAAUAAACAGUAAAUGGAAUGACGAUUUUCUAGGAAGUGCUGUGUCUGGCUGCGGCAGAAGCAGCAAUGAGCUAAGAGAGGUUUUUUGGCAGCCCUGAAGGGCC
rnacentral:lncRNA from 10 species